rnacentral:tRNA from 2 species
GGGUCAGUAGCUCAGUUGGAUAGAGCACAGGCCUUCUAAGCCUGGUGUCGGGGGUUCGACUCCCUCCUGGCUCACCA